rnacentral:rRNA from 1 species
UGGGGUAACGGCUCACCUAGGCGACGAUCCCUAGCUGGUCUGAGAGGAUGACCAGCCACACUGGAACUGAGACACGGUCCAGACUCCUACGGGAGGCAGCAGUGGGGAAUAUUGCACAAUGGGCGCAAGCCUGAUGCAGCCAUGCCGCGUGUAUGAAGAAGGCCUUCGGGUUGUAAAGUACUUUCAGUGGGGAGGAAGGCGAAGAGGUUAAUAACCUUUUCGAUUGACGUUACCCGCAGAAGAAGCACCGGCUAACUCCGUGCCAGCAGCCGCGGUAAUACGGAGGGUGCAAGCGUUAAUCGGAAUUACUGGGCGUAAAGCGCACGCAGGCGGUCUGUCAAGUCGGAUGUGAAAUCCCCGGGCUCAACCUGGGAACUGCAUUCGAAACUGGCAGGCUAGAGUCUUGUAGAGGGGGGUAGAAUUCCAGGUGUAGCGGUGAAAUGCGUAGAGAUCUGGAGGAAUACCGGUGGCGAAGGCGGCCCCCUGGACAAAGACU